AGGGUGUAAACGCUGCAGACUUGGUGUUGGGAACCCUUCGGGGGUGCUCAGUGCCGGAGAGAAGUUGUUAAGUCUGCUACUUGGGGAGUACGUCCGCAAGGAUGAAACUUAAAGGAAUUGGCGGGGGAGCACCGCAACGGGAGGAGCGUGCGGUUUAAUUGGAUUCAACGCCGAAAAACUCACCAGCAGCGACUGUUACAUGAAGGCCGAGAUGAAGACUCUGCUAGAUUUUCAGAGAGGUGGUGCAUGGCGUAGACGUCU
rnacentral:rRNA from 1 species